rnacentral:lncRNA from 1 species
UUAUAUUAUAUUAUAUUUAAUGAUGGAGGAAUUACACUGCAAUACGAAGGUGACGAAAUAAAUUAUGCGAUAAUAAUAUUGUAGAGGAGAUUAAAUAAAAAAGCUUACAUGCAUAGAGAUAUGGUAAAUCGACCACUAUCUAAGAGUGGUAAGGAGGGGGUGGAGAUGCAUAGAUGUAACUGUGAACUGGUGGUGGAGGAGAGUGAUAAACUGGGUGUGGAGUGUAGGGAGGAUGAACUGGUGGAGAGUGGUAAACUGGUUUUGGAGUGUAAGGAGGGUGAACUGGUGGUGGAGGGGAUGAGUAUUUGUAUGGCUUCUUUGGUGGUGGUGGAGAGUGGUAGUAGGGCUUAGGGCUGACGUGAUGCACUGGUGGAGGAGGAGAGGAAUAUUUGUAUGGCUUCUUUGGUGGUGGUGGGGAAUGGUAGUAAGGUUUAGGGCUUAACAUGCACUGGUGGUGGAGGAGAAGAAUAUUUGUAUGGUUUCUUUGGGGGUGGUGGAGAAUGGUAGUAAGGUUUAGGGUGGACAUAUGGUGGAGGAGGAGAAGAAUACUUGUAAGGUUUCUUUGGUGGUGGUGGUGGUGAACUGUAAUGGUAGGGAGGAGGAGGUGUAUAAACGGUGGGGGUGGAGAGUGGUAGUAGUAUGGUUUCUUAGGUGGUGAGUACACUGGUGGUGGUGGUGAAGAGUAAUGGUAAGGUGGUUUAACUGGAGGGUACACCCCCGGUGGUGGGGAAUGUGGAGGGUACACCUUAGGUGGUGGUGGAGAACUAUAAUGGUAAGGUGGUGAGACUGGUGGAUACACCUCAGGUGGUGGUGAAUGUGGAGGGUAUUUCUUAGGUGGUGGUGGGGAAGAGUAAUGGUAAGGUGGUUUAACUGGUGGGUACACCUUGGGUGGUGGUGAAUGUGGAGGGUACACCUUAGGAGGUGGUGGUGAAGAGUAAUGGUAAGGUGGUGAAACUGGAGGAUACACCUUAGGUGGUGGUGAAUGAGGAGGAUACUUCUUAGGUGGUGGUGGUGAAGAGUAAUGGUAAGGUGGUGAAACUGGAGGGUACACCUUAGGUGGUGGUGAAUGUGGAGGGUACACCUUAGGUGGUGGUGGUGAAGGGUAGUGGUAAGGUGGGGAAACUGGAGGGUAGACCUUAGAAGGUGGAGGAGGUGAAGAAUACAAGUAGCUGUUUGCUGAAAUUUGAGAU